UUUUUUUUUUUAAUUUUGGGCCUUUAUAAUUGUAUAUUGCUGAUAAAUACAAGCGUAUGGGGACUCUCUCUAUUAAACCCAGGACUCCAGCGAAAUUGCAGGGAAUUCAUGGUCACGGGACUGGCCUCGGCCAAUCGCUCGUCUGGGCCUGGUGGAAAACAGAGAGCAUUAUUUGCUUUAAUUGAUUCAAAAACUCUAGAGGACCACGACCUGGACACUGUGAGCCCCAAGUCCUACACUCCCUCUCCCCAAAGCCUCCCUUUCUCCAGAAAAGCUGGAGGAAACUUUCUCUCAUCCCCUUCAGAGGAUGGGAGGUUCCGAAAGCUGGGACACAAGAGAAUCUAAGGGAGAAGUCUUCCUCUUUUCCAAAUAUUUGUAAUAGAAUAUAUUAAUACAUUCUUUACAAUGCCAGCAGCAUUUUCUUCCCCACCCUUCCCCCAUUAAAAAAAGAAAAAAGAAGAAAAGAAAGAAAGAAAACUGAGUAAGGAUCUCAAUGUGGGAGAAAGAGGUAGUAGAAAGAGGCUUCCAUCCUUUGGGAAAGGUCAGUGUUAAGGUGCAAUAAGGAAGAGAAGAGAUUUACAAUCACCAGCACCACCAUCCUCAUCCCACCCCCCAAAAGCAACAGAUAAAUCUUGGAAAAUCGACAGGCACUCCCAGGUUGACACGGAGGAGUGAAAUAGAUGGUGGGGGACCCUUUUGGGCCUCUGGCAGCCAUAGCUGUGUGGUCUCAGUUUCCUCCUCUGCCUGGUGUUUGCGGCAGUGCCCCUGCCCCUAUGUCCACCUGCCUUCCUUACCUGGAGUCUUCAUCUCACUCCUUUUUGAUACCCCACAAUGGACAGGGUCUAAGGUGCAUGUGCUCCCAUUGGAGCCUCAAGUCUGUAUCUACAUCUGUCUCCAGGGACGCGAACAAGAACCGAGGUAGUGCGAUUUAACUUAGAGCACUCUCAAACUCAGGUCAAUGUGUGGGGGGAGGAUUUCCCUCCCAGGACAAACAGUAUCCCCUCUCCCAUUUUUGCCAGUGUGCUAGUUUAAAAAUAAUAAUAAUAAUCCUUGGCAAGAAAGAAUUAUCUGAGCAUGGAGGGGGUAAAAACAAUGAAUAAGGAGAUGAUAUUCCAUUUCUGGCCCCCGGGAGGGGGGGAGAUUUUUUAUUUUUUAUUUUUUAUUUUUUGAGGGGAUCAAGAGAGUGCUGAACUUUAGGGAGUGCUGUAAUUUACUGGAGAGAGGGGACACAUAACUCGGGGCCCCAAGCAAUUGGUGGGAAACUAGAUCUCAAAGCAGAAAAUGAAAAGUCGAUCUGGGGAAAGAUUUUUAAAUAAGUGGGUCAGAGGGACCGAGAGGAGAUGAGGCGAUCAAUCUUAGCCCCCUGACAGCUCCCUCCGAUGGCAUCAAAGAAUUUGGCUCUUUGGGAAAGCAGAGGGAACAGCCGAAAUUCCACAUCCCUUUAAAAGGCCUGGGGGUGGGGGUGAUAGCAAGAGAGAAAGGUGAUUCUGGGAGAGCGGGGAAACAGAUGGGAAAUGGGGACAGAGGGAAGGACGCUGAGUUGGGUGGAAAGUUUGUCUGGAGAACUCCCACGGCUCUGGCCUCCCCUCCCCCUCCUCCUCUCCGCGGGCCCGGCAAGGAGGAGAAAGCUGGUUAGCAGAGAAAUGGCAACUCAGCCGGCAGCUGGAACUAGAAACUUUCUGUCAAUGUAACAGCCGCGUGGGUGGCGGUGAGUAUUCAUCCGCGUGGGUGGCGACCCAAUGGUGGUUGGGCUUCGGGUCACGUGACGACUUCUUUGUAGCUCCGGAAGAGAACUGUGAAGUUUAGGUUGCUUGGAAGAAGCAGUAAAUGGCCAGAUUUUGUUGUUGUUGUUGUUGUUGUUGUUGGGUAAGGGGUGGCCAGGAAGUUGUGGCCAAAGGAGCAAGAAGACAAAAGGUCAAUGAGAAAAACUGAGAGGAGAAUUGCAAGAAAAAAAAGUCAAGAUUUGGAGAAAUUACCCACAGAGAGAGAAGGUCUCUCAUCCAAGCAGAGUCUAGCCUGAAGGAAAAAAAACAGAGGAUCUCCGAAAGAGACAGGAAGGAGAAGCAAGUUGAGCAGGCAACCUUCUCCUGUGAGGAGCCCUCUCUUUCCCCUCCCACCUCACGAAGACAACAACAGCCUGACCUAGAAACUUCCUGAAGAUUUUUAACAUCCAGAGCCAGCAGAACCGAGCCUCCUCCAUGGCCCUGGGCAGGCAGUCUGUUUCCUCUGAUUUCUCCAAAAGAAGAAAAGAAGAGAGAAACUGGAUAACUGCUGGACUUUUCUACCAAGAGAUGCUAAAGUGCUUCCUGAAUGAGAACACCUUUUCCCAAGGCAAAAAAGAAAGUCAACAGAGCAAUCAGAACAAUAUUAUUCUCUGGGUUGGAAACAGGGUAUCUUGUUUACUAAAGUUUUCCAAGUUAAAAAAAAAUCAUGAUUUUAACGCAGACUUUUAAAACUGUGCAGAAAAAAAUAAAGCUUCAAGCUGUCA